UCCUUAAGGUUAACCUAAAAAAAAUAACCUCUGCAGCUCUUCAAAGUUCUCCCAAAUGGUCUCAUCACGAUUAACACUCGCAAUCAACAAGAACCCGAGUAGGAGUGCCUUCAGCUGUAUUGAUGAUUUGGCGACCUAGAACCGCAAUGGGGGCAUGGAUGCGACGAUGGGGGAGAUUAGGAGAUGUUGGAAAUUCUUCUAGGGCUUCAACGUGGAAGAAUUUCAGCACAAAGACAGGAAAGACUAGGUGCAAGGCACAAGUUUGCAGUAGACGCAAGUAGUAAGUGACCUUGCCUACCUUGUAUAUGAUCUGAAAUGGCCCAUAAAAUCGUUUGUAAAGCUUGUUAAAAUUGCUCUGAGUUAAUGUGCGCUACCUAUAAGGCCUCACCCCUGAAAGUAUCCAAUCACCCACUUUAAAAUUUUUCUCCCAUCGAUGCUUGCCUGCCUGCAGCUUCAUCUUCUCUCGUGCGGCCUGUAAGGUAUAGCGUAACUCCUUGUUAGGUGCUUCACGAACCCUGAGGAAUUCAUCCACUGCCUCAACGGAUGUGCCCUGGAGAAUAACCUAGAAGAAUUCGCAUAGGAAAGCCAUAUAGAGCCUUAUAGAGAGACAUGUUGAUAGAUGAAUGAUAGGACUAAUUGUAGCAACUAGGAAAACUUCGCCCAUGAGAGAUAGGCAGUCCAUUGGGUAGGAUAAGAGUAGGUGAAAACUCGUAGGUACUGUUCUAAUUAUCGAUUCACCACAUCCGUCUGAGCGUCGCUCUGUGGAUGGUGCGCGGUGCUGUAAUAGAGAUAUGUGUUGUUGAUCUCGAAUAGAUUCUUCCAAAAUUUGCUUAAGAAGAUUGGAUUCCUAUCUAAAACCAUCGUCCUAGGAAAACCAUGUAGUUUCACCACUGAAUUAAUGAAUGCCUUGGUAGCAUCCUUGGCUAUGAACCCGGUUCGAGAGCCGAAAAAUGGUCAACCUUAUUAAACCUAUCCACUACUACCAAUAUGGUAGUGUAGCCAGUAAACUUAGGUAGUUGGACAAUAAAAUUCAAUGAAAUCUCCAACAAUGGCUAUUUUGAAAUUGGAAGUGGUUGUAGCAUAAUAAUAGCAUAAUCCUCACAAUAAUAGCAUAAUCCUUUCUCCCUCUUCAAUUUGAUUUUAACUACUAAUAAUAACUUAAAAGGUGGGUUAGGUGAAUUAUUCUUUUGUGUGUUAGAAGUUAGUUGGGAUGUGUUGAUAAGUAUAGUGGCAACUAGUGAUUUAGUUGAUAGAGUACGAUUGAGUGUGUGUGAUUGGUUUGUGGGAAUAGAGGAUGGGUUCAGGUUUCGUCUAAGAUUCUUAGUGUGGUGGGGCUUUAUGGUGGCUUGCUUCUGUUCAUGCAAUUUCGCUAGUGAAACUACAUGCACGAAGGUAGUGGGUUUGGCUAGGAGGAGCUUACAUUUCAAAUGAUCUUGUAGCCCAGCGAUGAAGAAGAAUAUCACCCACUCUUUACUCGACACUGUGAUUUGGUUGGUAAGUUCUUCACACAACCCUUGGUACUCGGCCAUCGUACCACCUUGCUUCAAUUCAUUGAGCGCUACCUUAGGGUGGUUGUAGAACUGAUUUUGUCCAAAACAAAUGAGUAAGGCAUCCAGAAACGACUCCCAUGUAUAGGCGAUGUUGUUAUUAACACCCCAGGGAUACCAUGAGUAGGCAGGGCUAGUCAAAUGGAAGGAAAUCAUGCGGACUUGCAUCUCAUAAGGAACGGAAUACCAUUCGAAAUGUUCACAUACCUUAAGCAUCCUUUCUUCCACCGCUUUGCCAUUAAAGGUAGGGAGGUCGACCUUAACUUUGCGAUCCAUAUGGAAUUGUGGAUGUUGAAAGUGUGCGGCCUUGUAAUUGUGAGAAGAGUGAGUAAGCUCCUCAUUAUCGGAUUCACUAGCCACCUUUUUGUUCUUGAGUACCUCCUUCAAUAAUUUACAAAUCUCAUGCAGUGAACCUUCUAAUCUGUUCAUAUGUUCAUUGGUGAAGGAUACUUGGCUGGCGAUCUCGACAUGACUCCUCUGCAGUGCCGCUAAUUCUGAUUGUUGGCGGAGUUCAUCGGAAGGAAUCAUUUUCCCUUAAAAUGAAGCACCAAAUGACAAGAAGAUGGUUAACCUACACAACUCUAACAACUGCAGAAUGGGAAUGGGUUAGAAAGUACAUAAGAAUAAAGAUAGAGUACGUAAGAAUGAAGAAGAAUGUAUGAGAAUAUUAUUGAAUGAAUAAAGUAAUUUCCUAUUCGAGUCAAGAGGAACUCCACAAAGGUUUACUCAAAUUCCACACUGCCUAUGACGUGAUUUUCCCAUACAAUAUAUCCCUAUUUUCUAACUAACUUGCCAUGUCAUCCUUGAGAGGUAAUCCCUUGCUAUGCACGCACAUAAUCCUUCAACCAUGAUGGCACCUUCCUCACUCUUUUGGCUUUGGACCCUACUGAGAUAGAAGGUCGUGACAACCCAUUCUCUCUUCUAGUUUUGCUUCCUAGACUGUAUCUGGGUUAAUUUUCUGGUUUGCUAACCCAUUAACUAUUGGAUUAGGUGGAGAGCUAUCAGUUGGACUCUUAAAUCACAAUAGAGUCAUACAUUCAUGUUAUUUCACCUUUUAAUUUUUCAAAACCUAUGAAUGCACAAUUCGUAACUUAACAUUAUAAUUCUUUUUUUUAUAUGUAUAUCAAUAAAAGUUUUAAAAACUUCUACUAAUGCAUUUUCUCCUGCACCAUAACAUCCAUUAAAAAAGGCAUUUUACUAUGAUAAAAGAAAAAAUACAGUCCUCACUUGCAUUGAAGAAGAGGCAUCGUACCACUAUCAAAGUGUAUUAAUAGAUCCUAAUUUACAUUUUUAUUUAUUAAAGGAGCUACACACACUAUGAAUAAGAUUGAGGGGAAGAAAGGCUUCAUGGCAAUUAAGUUUGAUUUCGAGAAAGCUUAUAAUAGGCUUAAUUGGAAUUUUCUCAAAAAGUGCCUAAUUGACUUUGGUGUAGGGGAAAAGCUCCCAAGUAUCAUUAUGCAUUAUGUCCGAUCAGUGUCCUACAAUAUAUUGUGGAAUGGAGGAAGGACGGAGAGCUUUCAACUAACUAGAGGAGUGAGACAAGGCGAUCCCAUCUCACCAUAUUUAUUUGUUAUACUUAUGGACAAAAUCUCAGCUAGUAGAGGAACAUGUAGCUAACAAUAAGUGGAAGCUGAUAAGAAUAGGGAGAGAGAGAGAGACCUCAUAUCUCACAUAUCCUUUUUGUUGAUAACCUGUUGGUUUUGCAGAAGCGUGUAGAGAAAAUUUGAGAAGUGCAGAAGAAUCUCAACAGUUUUUGCUCUUCAUUGGGUUUAAAAAUCAGCAAUAAGAAGACAUCUAUCAUCUUCUCCAAUAAUGUGAAAGAGGAUCAGAAGAGGCAUAUUCUCAAGGAAUGUCAAUUCCAAGAGAAGCCUUAUCUUGGGAAGUAUUUGGGUGCUAUGAUUACGAACCACAAAGUCGGGAAAAAGCGAUUCAAGAACGUAGUUGAAAAGGUUCAUAAUAAAUUGAAGGGAUGGAAAGUUAACUGCUUGUCAUUGACAGGAUAGAUUACGUUGGCCAACUAUGAAAUGCAACACUAAUGAGUACAUAUUUUCCGAUGUAUUUUGGCUUGAUCUGAAUAGAUUCUAGCAUAUAAACUCACACUUAAGCACCAAAAUAGCAUACUUUUGUGUUUUAUCCCUAAUUUGAUCCUAAAUGUGAAAACAUGCAAUUUUGUGCUUGAAAUGAGCAAUUUAAUUCCACUCUUAUUCCAUUUGAUGCCGUGAUAUGGUUUGUGAGUGAUUUCAGGCCUUAGAGACAAGAAUGGAUGGCCAAAAGUGGAAGAAAGCAUGUACAAGGGAGAAAACAUGAAGAAAAACAAGGAAAAGCGCACACAGCAAGAUGUGCGUGCGCACAAGCACAUGUGCGUACGCACAGGUCAAUUUUCAGCCGAGUGUGCGGACGCAUACGUCUAUGCGUCCGCACGUCCCUGCACGUGAUUGCAUUAAUGAAACAUGUGCUGCGUGAAUUUUGGGGCUCUUGGCCCAUUUUGGAAGGCUGAAUUGCUGAAGUGAAGUGCUAUAUAAGGGUAGAAUCAACACAUUUCAAGAGGAAGCUUUCAUUAGGUUUUGAGCUCACUUAGAUAAUUUUAGAGAGUAAUUAGGAGUAGGAGUAGGAGUAGUAUAGCAUUGCUCUCUUAGGGUUUUAAUUUCCAUCUUCAUGUAGCAUUUUAUAGCAAGCUUAAUUUUGGAUUUUGAUCAUCUUUAAUUGUAAGUACUCUUUAAUUCCUCUUUAAUUACAUUGUCUUUAUUUUCAUUUUCUUUGGUUCAAGCACUUUGUUUAUAAUUGCAAUUUUGAGUUCUUGAAGUUUUGAUUGAUGAAUUUAAUGUUUCUU
rnacentral:lncRNA from 1 species